UGGGGAUUAGCCAAAUGGGACGGCAGAGGACUUUGACCCCUCUAUGAAGUGGUUCGAUUCCACUAUCCCUAGCCA
rnacentral:tRNA from 1 species